ACCAAAUAGAUACCCCGGUAGUCCACGCCCUAAACGAUGCGAACUGGAUGUUGGGUACAUUACGGUACUCAGUGUCGAAAGCUAAACGCGUUAAGUUACGCCGCCUGGGGAGGUACGUCGCAAGACUGAAACUCAAAGGAAUUGACGGGGGCCCGCACAAGCGGUGGAGUAUGUGGUUUAAUUCGAUGCAACGCGAAGAACCUUACCUGGCCUUGACAUCUGUCGAAUCCUGCAGAGAUGCGGGAGGUGCCGCAAGGAACGACAAGACAGGUGCUGCAUGGCUGUCGUCAGCUCGUGUCGUGAGAUGUUGGG
rnacentral:rRNA from 1 species